rnacentral:rRNA from 1 species
GAUGAACGCUGGCGGCGUGCCUAAUACAUGCAAGUCGAGCGAACAGAUGAGGAGCUUGCUCCUCUGACGUUAGCGGCGGACGGGUGAGUAACACGUGGAUAACCUACCUAUAAGACUGGGAUAACUUCGGGAAACCGGAGCUAAUACCGGAUAAUAUAUUGAACCGCAUGGUUCAAUAGUGAAAGACGGUUUUGCUGUCACUUAUAGAUGGAUCCGCGCUGCAUUAGCUAGUUGGUAAGGUAACGGCUUACCAAGGCAACGAUGCAUAGCCGACCUGAGAGGGUGAUCGGCCACACUGGAACUGAGACACGGUCCAGACUCCUACGGGAGGCAGCAGUAGGGAAUCUUCCGCAAUGGGCGAAAGCCUGACGGAGCAACGCCGCGUGAGUGAUGAAGGUCUUCGGAUCGUAAAACUCUGUUAUUAGGGAAGAACAAAUGUGUAAGUAACUAUGCACAUCUUGACGGUACCUAAUCAGAAAGCCACGGCUAACUACGUG